GGGGCUGUAGCUCAUUUGGUAGAGCGCUUGAAUGGCAUUCAAGAGGUAAGGGGUUCGAUUCCCCUCAGCUCCA
rnacentral:tRNA from 1 species